rnacentral:rRNA from 1 species
UACGUAGGGGGCAAGCGUUGUCCGGAUUUAUUGGGCGUAAAGAGCGUGUAGGCGGCCAUGUAGGUCCGGUGUGAAAACUCGAGGCUCAACCUCGAGACGCCGAUGGAAACCAUGUGGCUAGAGUCCGGAAGAGGAGAGUGGAAUUCCUGGUGUAGCGGUGAAAUGCGCAGAUAUCAGGAAGAACACCCGUGGCUAAGGCGGCUCUCUAGUACGGUACUGACGCUGAGACGCGAAAGCGUGGGGAGCGAACAGG